rnacentral:rRNA from 1 species
CCUGAAUUCGAAAGGGGUUCUGGAUUCAAGUCGACCCGGACAGCCAGACGCCCCGCCCAGACGGCGCCGGUCGCCCGCAGCCAUUCACUUGGCUGGCGGUGUCGCUCCCGGCGCUCGCUCGGGCGGGCAACGUUAUCCGCUCCGGACGGGUGCACUUCCCCCCUAGUAGAAACGUCGCGACCCGUUGGGUGCCGGUCAGAAGGCCCGGGGUGGAGCCCGCGCCAUGUCCUCGGACGACGCGCGGACCCCCGAGGCCCGGCCGGCCGCCCGACGGUACGACCAGAGGAGUCGAUCCGCUGAAAUGUGUGAAGCGUCCGGCCCAGCUGCCGAACGGCGGCCAGUAGGUCCCGUCGAGAGCACGGGCUGUGCUGCGUCUUCGGAGCUGGUGACCUCGGACCGGAUCGGUACUCCCGUCGGCGACGCCCACCUUCGGAUGGUCUCCCG